UACGUAGGGGGCAAGCGUUGUCCGGAAUCAUUGGGCGUAAAGAGCGUGUAGGCGGCCACGCAGGUCCGUUGUGAAAACUGGAGGCUCAACCUCCAGCUGUCGACGGAAACCGUAUGGCUAGAGUCCGGAAGAGGAGAGUGGAAUUCCUGGUGUAGCGGUGAAAUGCGCAGAUAUCAGGAAGAACACCAAUGGCGAAGGCAGCUCUCUGGGACGGUACUGACGCUGAGACGCGAAAGCGUGGGGAGCGAACAGG
rnacentral:rRNA from 1 species